GGCUACACAUGCAAGUCGAGCGGUAACAGAUCCAGCUUGCUGGAUGCUGACGAGCGGCGGACGGGUGAGUAAUGCAUAGGAAUCUGCCCGAUAGUGGGGGAUAACCUGGGGAAACCCAGGCUAAUACCGCAUACGUCCUACGGGAGAAAGGGGGCUCCGGCUCCCGCUAUGGGAUGAGCCUAUGUCGGAUUAGCUAGUUGGUGAGGUAACGGCUCACCAAGGCCACGAUCCGUAGCUGGUCUGAGAGGAUGAUCAGCCACAUCGGGACUGAGACACGGCCCGAACUCCUACGGGAGGCAGCAGUGGGGAAUAUUGGACAAUGGGGGCAACCCUGAUCCAGCCAUGCCGCGUGUGUGAAGAAGGCCCUCGGGUUGUAAAGCACUUUCAGCGAGGAAGAACGCCUAGCGGUUAAUACCCGCUAGGAAAGACAUCACUCGCAGAAGAAGCACCGGCUAACUCCGUGCCAGCAGCCGCGGUAAUACGGAGGGUGCAAGCGUUAAUCGGAAUUACUGGGCGUAAAGCGCGCGUAGGUGGCUUGAUAAGCCGGUUGUGAAAGCCCCGGGCUCAACCUGGGAACGGCAUCCGGAACUGUCAAGCUAGAGUGCAGGAGAGGAAGGUAGAAUUCCCGGUGUAGCGGUGAAAUGCGUAGAGAUCGGGAGGAAUACCAGUGGCGAAGGCGGCCUUCUGGACUGACACUGACACUGAGGUGCGAAAGCGUGGGUAGCAAACAGGAUUAGAUACCCUCGUAGUCCAUGCCGUAAACGAUGUGUGCUAGACGUUGGAAAUAUAUUUUUCAGUGUCGCAGCGAAAGCAUUAAGCACACCGCCUGGGGAGUACGACCGCAAGGUUAAAACUCAAAUGAAUUGACGGGGACCCGCACAAGCAGUGAGCAUGUGUUUAACUCGAAGAUACGCGCAGAACCUUACCACGCUGACAUGUCGUCGCGAGACUAGAGAUAGUCUUUUCAGUUGCUGACGAAACACAGUGCUGCAUGCUGUCGUCAGCUCGUGUCGUGAGAUGUGGUAGUCCCGCAACGAGCGCAACCACGGUUUUAGUUG
rnacentral:rRNA from 1 species